AUUUGCAUGAUGAAGAAGCUUCUAGUAUUGUAUCAAUGGUCCAUUUGGAAGCAGGAAUAACAGAAUAUGCCUAUGGACGGGUUGAUUCAUGCAGACUACAUUUUGGAUCAGCUCAAGCAUCAGCUGGGCUUCAACUAUCUGUCACUGGAGUUCUUGGCUACCGUACUGUGCAUCAGGCAGAGCCAAAGGCACAAAGGGUACUUCUUGUCAAUAGAAGCUCAUCAAAUAGUGGUGCUAGUGUUACCGGCCAUGAUUCCACAAUUAAUGAAGAAACAUUGCAUCUGC
rnacentral:misc_RNA from 1 species